UACGUAGGGGGCAAGCGUUGUCCGGAUUUACUGGGCGUAAAGCGCGCGUAGGUGGAAGGUCAAGUCCGGCUUGAAAGCCCCCGGCUCAACCGGGGAGAGUGGCUGGAAACUGGCUUUCUUGAGGGCGAGAGUGGAGGGUGGAAUUCCUGGUGUAGCGGUGAAAUACGUAGAGAUCAGGAGGAACACCCGAGGCGAAGGCGGCCCUCUGGCUCGACCCUGACGCUGAGGCGCGAAAGCGUGGGGAGCGAACGGG
rnacentral:rRNA from 1 species